rnacentral:rRNA from 1 species
CAGUCGCCGCGGUAAUACAGAGGGUGCGAGCGUUAAUCGGAUUUACUGGGCGUAAGCGUGCGUAGGCGGCUUCUUAAGUCGGAUGUGAAAUCCCUGAGCUUAACUUAGGAAUUGCAUUCGAUACUGGGAAGCUAGAGUAUGGGAGAGGAUGGUAGAAUUCCAGGUGUAGCGGUGAAAUGCGUAGAGAUCUGGAGGAAUACCGAUGGCGAAGGCAGCCAUCUGGCCUAAUACUGACGCUGAGGUACGAAAGCAUGGGGAGCAAACAGGAUUAGAUACCCCCGUAGUCCCUGUCUCUUAUACC